rnacentral:rRNA from 1 species
GACGAACGCUGGCGGCGUGCCUAAUACAUGCAAGUAGAACGCUGAAGGAGGAGCUUGCUUCUCUGGAUGAGUUGCGAACGGGUGAGUAACGCGUAGGUAACCUGCCUGGUAGCGGGGGAUAACUAUUGGAAACGAUAGCUAAUACCGCAUAAGAGUAGAUGUCGCAUGACAUUUGCUUAAAAGGUGCAAUUGCAUCACUACCAGAUGGACCUGCGUUGUAUUAGCUAGUUGGUGAGGUAACGGCUCACCAAGGCAACGAUACAUAGCCGACCUGAGAGGGUGAUCGGCCACACUGGGACUGAGACACGGCCCAGACUCCUACGGGAGGCAGCAGUAGGGAAUCUUCGGCAAUGGACGGAAGUCUGACCGAGAAACGCCGCGUGAGUGAAGAAGGGUUUCGGAUCGUAAAGCUCUGUUGUAAGAGAAGAACGAGUGUGAGAGUGGAAAGUUCACACUGUGACGGUAUCUUACCAGAAAGGGACGGCUAACUACGUG